CCCGGCACAAGCAGUGGAGCAUGUGGUUUAAUUCGAUGCAACGCGAAGAACCUUACCUGGGCUUGAACUGCAGGCGUAGUCGCUUGAAAGGGCGGCGAACUCCUUCGGGAAGACCUGUAGAGGUGCUGCAUGGCUGUCGUCAGCUCGUGUCGUGAGAUGUUGGGUUAAGUCCCGCAACGAGCGCAACCCUCGCCUCUAGUUGCCAGCAUUCGGUUGGGCACUCUAGAGGGACUGCCGGCGACAAGUCGGAGGAAGGUGGGAUGACGUCAAAUCAUCAUGCCCCUUAUGACCUGGGCUACACACGUGCUACAAUGGGCGGUACAAAGGGCUGCGAACCCGCGAGGGGGAGCGAAUCCCAAAAAGCCGCUCUCAGUUCGGAUUGCAGGCUGCAACUCGCCUGCAUGAAGCCGGAAUCGCUAGUAAUCGCGGAUCAGCAUGCCGCGGUCGAAUACGUUCCCGGGCCUU
rnacentral:rRNA from 1 species